rnacentral:rRNA from 1 species
GUAGGGAAUAUUGCGCAAUGGACGAAAGUCUGACGCAGCGACGCCGCGUGAGUGAUGAAGGCCUUAGGGUCGUAAAGCUCUGUUGAAUGGGAAGAAAAAAAUGACGGUACCAUUCGAGGAAGGACCGGCUAACUUCGUGCCAGCAGCCGCGGUAAUACGAGGGGUCCUAGCGUUGUUCGGAAUCAUUGGGCGUACAGGGUGUGUAGGUGGCCAUGUAAGCCAGGUGUGAAAGCCCCGGGCUCAACCCGGGACGUGCACUUGAUACUGCGUGGCUUGAGUACCGAAGAGGGUAGUGGAAUUCCAGGUGUAGUGGUGAAAUACGUAGAUAUCUGGAGGAACACCGGUGGCGAAGGCGGCUACCUGGUCGAGUACUGACACUGAGACACGAAAGCAUGGGGAUCAAACAGGAUUAGAAACCCGAGUAGUCC